rnacentral:lncRNA from 1 species
GUAAUCUAUAAUCCAUAAUAUAUAUUAAAGUAUCACAUCAAGGGAAAAUCAUUUUUUUGACGAUUUUAACCCUCAUACAAUUCAAUUAAUUCAAUAAUACAUUACUUUUCAUUUUUAGAUAUGUAAAAAUGCUACAUAAUUAUUGUCUUUUAUGAAAUUUGUGCUCUUUUAUUGUUGAAGAUGCAAAAAGAGACGACAGUACCAGAAAGUAAGAGAGCAGCACUUACCCUUCUAAGCUAAAGAAGCAAAGAUGAAAGCAAGUUUCUAAUCAGCUAUCAUCUGGCUUCAUCGACUUUCAAUUGGGAGAACACUUCAUUAGGAUUUGCUUGGCUAGCAUCUGAGAAACUAUACGACAGGAGGGAAAGUUCAUCUUCUCUGCAAGGAAUGCUUUGAGAAGGUAGUCGUUCAACAACAGGCAUAGGCAACUCCCAAGUAACUUCUGUGGUGCUGUCUUCAUAUG